rnacentral:rRNA from 1 species
UACGAAGGGGGCUAGCGUUGUUCGGAAUCACUGGGCGUAAAGGGCGCGUAGGCGGCUUUAUAAGUCGGGGGUGAAAGCCUGUGGCUCAACCACAGAAUUGCCUUCGAUACUGUAGAGCUUGAGACCGGAAGAGGUAAGUGGAACUGCGAGUGUAGAGGUGAAAUUCGUAGAUAUUCGCAAGAACACCAGUGGCGAAGGCGGCGAUCUGGGAAGAUACUGACGCUGAGGUGCGAAAGCGUGGGAGCAAACAGGG